rnacentral:tRNA from 1 species
UUUUGCCUAGUUUUAAAAAAAUAUCUGUUUGUCAGGCAGAAGAAGUAAUUAAAAGUUACGGUCAGAU